GGUAUACUUCUUCGGAAGUAGAGACCGGCGCACGGGUGCGUAACGCGUAUGCAAUCUACCUUUUACAGAGGGAUAGCCCAGAGAAAUUUGGAUUAAUACCUCAUAGCAUAGCAACUUCGCAUGAAGUCACUAUUAAAGUCACAACGGUAAAAGAUGAGCAUGCGUCCCAUUAGCUAGUUGGUAAGGUAACGGCUUACCAAGGCUACGAUGGGUAGGGGUCCUGAGAGGGAGAUCCCCCACACUGGUACUGAGACACGGACCAGACUCCUACGGGAGGCAGCAGUGAGGAAUAUUGGACAAUGGGCGCAAGCCUGAUCCAGCCAUGCCGCGUGCAGGAUGACGGUCCUAUGGAUUGUAAACUGCUUUUAUACAGGAAGAAACCCUGGUUCGUGAACCAGCUUGACGGUACUGUAAGAAUAAGGAUCGGCUAACUCCGUGCCAGCAGCCGCGGUAAUACGGAGGAUCCAAGCGUUAUCCGGAAUCAUUGGGUUUAAAGGGUCCGUAGGCGGUUUAGUAAGUCAGUGGUGAAAGCCCAUCGCUCAACGGUGGAACGGCCAUUGAUACUGCUAAACUUGAAUUAUUAGGAAGUAACUAGAAUAUGUAGUGUAGCGGUGAAAUGCUUAGAGAUUACAUGGAAUACCAAUUGCGAAGGCAGGUUACUACUAAUUGAUUGACGCUGAUGGACGAAAGCGUGGGUAGCGAACAGGAUUAGAUACCCUGGUAGUCCACGCCGUAAACGAUGGAUACUAGCUGUUGGGAGCAAUCUCAGUGGCUAAGCGAAAGUGAUAAGUAUCCCACCUGGGGAGUACGUUCGCAAGAAUGAAACUCAAAGGAAUUGACGGGGGCCCGCACAAGCGGUGGAGCAUGUGGUUUAAUUCGAUGAUACGCGAGGAACCUUACCAAGGCUUAAAUGUAGUUUGACCGAUUUGGAAACAGAUUUUUCGCAAGACAAAUUACAAGGUGCUGCAUGGUUGUCGUCAGCUCGUGCCGUGAGGUGUCAGGUUAAGUCCUAUAACGAGCGCAACCCCUGUUGUUAGUUGCCAGCGAGUCAUGUCGGGAACUCUAACAAGACUGCCAGUGCAAACUGUGAGGAAGGUGGGGAUGACGUCAAAUCAUCACGGCCCUUACGCCUUGGGC
rnacentral:rRNA from 1 species